rnacentral:rRNA from 1 species
ACGAACGCUGGCGGCGUGCUUAACACAUGCAAGUCGAACGGUGACCCAGGGCUUGCCCUGGUGAUCAGUGGCGAACGGGUGAGUAACACGUGGGCAACCUGCCCCUGACUUCGGGAUAACUCCUCGAAAGAGGAGCUAAUACCGGAUACGACCACUUCGGACAUCCGAUGGUGGUGGAAAGUUUUCGAUCAGGGAUGGGCCCGCGGCCUAUCAGCUAGUUGGUGGGGUAAUGGCCUACCAAGGCGACGACGGGUAGCCGGCCUGAGAGGGCGACCGGCCACACUGGGACUGAGACACGGCCCAGACUCCUACGGGAGGCAGCAGUGGGGAAUAUUGCGCAAUGGGCGAAAGCCUGACGCAGCGACGCCGCGUGAGGGAUGAAGGCCUUCGGGUUGUAAACCUCUUUCAGCAGGGACGAAGCGAAAGUGACGGUACCUGCAGAAGAAGCACCGGCUAACUACGUG